UAAAGUGGCGAACGGCUGAGUAACACGUGGGCAACCUGCCCUUUGCACUGGGAUAGCCUCGGGAAACCGAGGUUAAUACCGGAUACUCCAUAUUUGUCGCAUGGCGAAUAUGGGAAAGCUCCGGCGGCAAAGGAUGGGCCCGCGGCCUGUUAGCUAGUUGGUGGGGUAGUGGCCUACCAAGGCAAUGAUGGGUGCCGGGUUGAGAGACCGACCGGCCAGAUUGGGACUGAGACACGGCCCAGACUCCUACGGGAGGCAGCAGC
rnacentral:rRNA from 1 species